GGUUGUGGCUCAGUGGUAGAGUGCUCACCUAGCACAUGUGAGGCACUAGGUUCGAUCCUUAGCACCA
rnacentral:tRNA from 1 species